rnacentral:rRNA from 1 species
GAUGAACGCUGGCGGCGUGCCUAAUACAUGCAAGUCGAGCGAACGGACGAGAAGCUUGCUUCUCUGAUGUUAGCGGCGGACGGGUGAGUAACACGUGGAUAACCUACCUAUAAGACUGGGAUAACUUCGGGAAACCGGAGCUAAUACCGGAUAAUAUUUUGAACCGCAUGGUUCAAAAGUGAAAGACGGUCUUGCUGUCACUUAUAGAUGGAUCCGCGCUGCAUUAGCUAGUUGGUAAGGUAACGGCUUACCAAGGCAACGAUGCAUAGCCGACCUGAGAGGGUGAUCGGCCACACUGGAACUGAGACACGGUCCAGACUCCUACGGGAGGCAGCAGUAGGGAGUCUUCCGCAAUGGGCGAAAGCCUGACGGAGCAACGCCGCGUGAGUGAUGAAGGUCUUCGGAUCGUAAAACUCUGUUAUUAGGGAAGAACAUAUGUGUAAGUAACUGUGCACAUCUUGACGGUACCUAAUCAGAAAGCCACGGCUAACUACGUGCCAGCAGCCGCGGUAAUACGUAGGUGGCAAGCGUUAUCCGGAAUUAUUGGGCGUAAAGCGCGCGUAGGCGGUUUUUUAAGUCUGAUGUGAAAGCCCACGGCUCAACCGUGGAGGGUCAUUGGAAACUGGAAAACUUGAGUGCAGAAGAGGAAAGUGGAAUUCCAUGUGUAGCGGUGAAAUGCGCAGAGAUAUGGAGGAACACCAGUGGCGAAGGCGACUUUCUGGUCUGUAACUGACGCUGAUGUGCGAAAGCGUGGGGAUCAAACAGGAUUAGAUACCCUGGUAGUCCACGCCGUAAACGAUGAGUGCUAAGUGUUAGGGGGUUUCCGCCCCUUAGUGCUGCAGCUAACGCAUUAAGCACUCCGCCUGGGGAGUACGACCGCAAGGUUGAAACUCAAAGGAAUUGACGGGGACCCGCACAAGCGGUGGAGCAUGUGGUUUAAUUCGAAGCAACGCGAAGAACCUUACCAAAUCUUGACAUCCUUUGACAACUCUAGAGAUAGAGCUUUCCCCUUCGGGGGACAAAGUGACAGGUGGUGCAUGGUUGUCGUCAGCUCGUGUCGUGAGAUGUUGGGUUAAGUCCCGCAACGAGCGCAACCCUUAAGCUUAGUUGCCAUCAUUAAGUUGGGCACUCUAAGUUGACUGCCGGUGACAAACCGGAGGAAGGUGGGGAUGACGUCAAAUCAUCAUGCCCCUUAUGAUUUGGGCUACACACGUGCUACAAUGGACAAUACAAAGGGCAGCGAAACCGCGAGGUCAAGCAAAUCCCAUAAAGUUGUUCUCAGUUCGGAUUGUAGUCUGCAACUCGACUACAUGAAGCUGGAAUCGCUAGUAAUCGUAGAUCAGCAUGCUACGGUGAAUACGUUCCCGGGUCU